GGUUAAGCGACUAAGCGUACACGGUGGAUGCCCUGGCAGUCAGAGGCGAUGAAGGACGUGCUAAUCUGCGAAAAGCGUCGGUAAGGUGAUAUGAACCGUUAUAACCGGCGAUGUCCGAAUGGGGAAACCCAGUGCAAUUCGUUGCACUAUCGUUAACUGAAUACAUAGGUUAACGAGGCGAACCGGGGGAACUGAAACAUCUAAGUACCCCGAGGAAAAGAAAUCAACCGAGAUUCCCCCAGUAGCGGCGAGCGAACGGGGAGCAGCCCAGAGUCUGAAUCAGCUUGUGUGUUAGUGGAACGGUCUGGAAAGUCCGACGGUACAGGGUGAUAGUCCCGUACACCAAAAUGCACAGGCUGUGAACUCGAAGAGUAGGGCGGGACACGUGGUAUCCUGUCUGAAUAUGGGGGGACCAUCCUCCAAGGCUAAAUACUCCUGACUGACCGAUAGUGAACCAGUACCGUGAGGGAAAGGGGAGAAAAGAACCCCGGCGAGGGGAGUGAAAAAGAACCUGAAACCGUGUACGUACAAGCAGUGGGAGCACCUUCGGGUGUGACUGCGUACCUUUUGUAUAAUGGGUCAGCGACUUAUAUUCUGUAGCAAGGUUAACCGUAUAGGGGAGCCGCAGGGAAACCGAGUCUUAACUGGGCGUUAAGUUGCAGGGUAUAGACCCGAAACCCGGUGAUCUAGCCAUGGGCAGGUUGAAGGUUGGGUAACACUAACUGGAGGACCGAACCGACUAAUGUUGAAAAAUUAGCGGAUGACUUGUGGCUGGGGGUGAAAGGCCAAUCAAACCGGGAGAUAGCUGGUUCUCCCCGAAAGCUAUUUAGGUAGCGCCUCGUGAAUUCAUCUUCGGGGGUAGAGCACUGUUUCGGCUAGGGGGUCAUCCCGACUUACCAACCCGAUGCAAACUACGAAUACCGAAGAAUGUUAUCACGGGAGACACACGGCGGGUGCUAACGUCCGUCGUGAAGAGGAAACAACCCAGACCGCCAGCUAAGGUCCCAAAGUCAUGGUUAAGUGGGAAACGAUGUGGGAAGGCACAGACAGCCAGGAUGUUGGCUUAGAAGCAGCCAUCAUUUAAAGAAAGCGUAAUAGCUCACUGGUCGAGUCGGCCUGCGCGGAAGAUGUAACGGGGCUAAACCAUGCACCGAAGCUGCGGCAGCGACACUAUGUGUUGUUGGGUAGGGGAGCGUUCUGUAAGCCUGCGAAGGUGACCUGUGAGGGUUGCUGGAGGUAUCAGAAGUGCGAAUGCUGACAUAAGUAACGAUAAAGCGGGUGAAAAGCCCGCUCGCCGGAAGACCAAGGGUUCCUGUCCAACGUUAAUCGGGGCAGGGUGAGUCGACCCCUAAGGCGAGGCCGAAAGGCGUAGUCGAUGGGAAACAGGUUAAUAUUCCUGUACUUGGUGUUACUGCGAAGGGGGGACGGAGAAGGCUAUGUUAGCCGGGCGACGGUUGUCCCGGUUUAAGCAUGUAGGCUGGUUAUCCAGGCAAAUCCGGAUAAUCAAGGCUGAGGUGUGAUGACGAGGCACUACGGUGCUGAAGUAACAAAUGCCCUGCUUCCAGGAAAAGCCUCUAAGCAUCAGGUAACAUCAAAUCGUACCCCAAACCGACACAGGUGGUCAGGUAGAGAAUACCAAGGCGCUUGAGAGAACUCGGGUGAAGGAACUAGGCAAAAUGGUGCCGUAACUUCGGGAGAAGGCACGCUGGUGUGUAGGUGAAGUCCCUGCGGAUGGAGCUGAGACCAGUCGAAGAUACCAGCUGGCUGCAACUGUUUAUUAAAAACACAGCACUGUGCAAACACGAAAGUGGACGUAUACGGUGUGACGCCUGCCCGGUGCCGGAAGGUUAAUUGAUGGGGUUAUCCGUAAGGAGAAGCUCUUGAUCGAAGCCCCGGUAAACGGCGGCCGUAACUAUAACGGUCCUAAGGUAGCGAAAUUCCUUGUCGGGUAAGUUCCGACCUGCACGAAUGGCGGUGAUGGCCAGGCUGUCUCCACCCGAGACUCAGUGAAAUUGAACUCGCUGUGAAGAUGCAGUGUACCCGCGGCAAGACGGAAAGACCCCGUGAACCUUUACUAUAGCUUGACACUGAACAUUGAGCCUUGAUGUGUAGGAUAGGUGGGAGGCUUUGAAGCGUGGACGCCAGUCUGCGUGGAGCCAACCUUGAAAUACCACCCUUUAAUGUUUGAUGUUCUAACGUUGGCCCCUUACCGGGGUUGCGGACAGUGUCUGGUGGGUAGUUUGACUGGGGCGGUCUCCUCCCAAAGCGUAACGGAGGAGCACGAAGGUUAGCUAAUCCUGGUCGGACAUCAGGAGGUUAGUGCAAUGGCAUAAGCUAGCUUGACUGCGAGCGUGACGGCGCGAGCAGGUGCGAAAGCAGGUCAUAGUGAUCCGGUGGUUCUGAAUGGAAGGGCCAUCGCUCAACGGAUAAAAGGUACUCCGGGGAUAACAGGCUGAUACCGCCCAAGAGUUCAUAUCGACGGCGGUGUUUGGCACCUCGAUGUCGGCUCAUCACAUCCUGGGGCUGAAGUAGGUCCCAAGGGUAUGGCUGUUCGCCAUUUAAAGUGGUACGCGAGCUGGGUUUAGAACGUCGUGAGACAGUUCGGUCCCUAUCUGCCGUGGGCGCUGGAGAAUUGAGGGGGGCUGCUCCUAGUACGAGAGGACCGGAGUGGACGCAUCACUGGUGUUCGGGUUGUCAUGCCAAUGGCACUGCCCGGUAGCUAAAUGCGGAAGAGAUAAGUGCUGAAAGCAUCUAAGCACGAAACUUGCCCCGAGAUGAGUUCUCCCUGAGACUUUAAGUCUCCUGAAGGAACGUUGAAGACGACGACGUUGAUAGGCCGGGUGUGUAAGCGCAGCGAUGCGUUGAGCUAACCGGUACUAAUGAACCGUGAGGCUUAACCUU
rnacentral:rRNA from 1 species